UAGGGAAUAUUGGACAAUGGGCGAAAGCCUGAUCCAGCAACGCCGCGUGUGCGAUGACGGCCUUCGGGUUGUAAAGCACUUUUAGAGGAGAUGAGAAAGGACAGUAUCCUCUGAAUAAGCCUCGGCGAACUACGUGCCAGCAGCCGCGGUAAAACGUAGGAGGCUAGCGUUAUCCGGAUUUAUUGGGCGUAAAGCGCGUGCAGGCGGUUUAUCAAGUUGGAUGUGAAAGCUCCUGGCUUAACUGGGAGAGGUCGUUCAAAACUGAUAGACUAGAGAAUGGUAGAGGGAGGUGGAAUUCCGGGUGUAGUGGUGAAAUGCGUAGAUAUCCGGAGGAACACCAGUGGCGAGAGCGGCCUCCUGGGCCAUUUCUGACGCUAAGACGCGAAAGCUAGGGUAGCAAACGG
rnacentral:rRNA from 1 species